UCGCUGACUCUCUUUUCGGACUCAGCCCGCCUGCACCCAGGUGAAAUAGACAGCCAUGUUGCUCACACAAAGCCUGUUUGCUGGUCUCUUCACACUGACUCGAGUGAAAUUUGGUGCCGUGACUAGGAUCGGGGGACCUCCCUUGGGAGAUCAAUCCCCCGUCCUCCUACACUUUGCUCUGUGAGAAAGAUCCACCUACAACCUCAGGUCCUCAGACCAACCAGCCCAAGAAACAUCUCACCAAUUUCAAAUCCGUGAUAGAUCACAACAAGAGAUCAUGAAGAGGGCAUGGCCGCCAUGUCAUUCUGGAGAGAGACAGAGUAAAACAAAGAAGGUGAUGGGCAAUAACCAGACACGGGACUGAGGCCAUCCAUGACCAGCCAGCCCUAGCCAACACACAACACACAAGCUGAUCACAGAUGCAUGAGUAAGCCUGAGACCAGCCAAGACCAGCCUAGAAUAGAACUGCUCAGCAGCAAUAAAAACUAAAUAAAUUGUUACCUUAAGCUACUUUUAGAGCUAUUUGGAAGUGUAUUUUUGUGCAGCUAACAUUUACUAGCAGAUAAAAUGGUGAUUGUUUAUCUCUGUUUUAUUGAUGUUUUAAGGAAAUUGUUUCUAUUAAAAGGAAAUAUCUGGUCUUUGUCACGUUAAAUCAGGUUUAGCCUGAAGUUGUCUCCUUAAAUUUGCGGCACAACUCCCACCCUGCAAUACUUCAAAUUGUUUCACCUUUUUUGACAGAACCAAGGUAUAUCUUAAAUGUACUUGAUUGAUGUCUCAUGUCUCCCUAAAAUGUAUAAAACCAAACUGUGCUCUGACUACCUUGGGUACAUGUUCUGAGGGUCUCCUGAAGGCUGUGUCACAGGCCAUGGUCUUUCAUAUUUGGCUUAAAACAAAUCUCUUCAAAUAUUUUAUGUAGUUUGACUCUUUUCCUCAAUAGAACUCAUCAUUUAACCAGUUAAGUAUUUUGAGUUAGUUUGGGAUUAAACACGAGAGUUUUGACAGGGAGCUGAAACAAUAGUAGUUUCAUCAAAAGUUGAUUCUUGGUGCAUGUAAUUUUCUAUUACAGUGAACACAGAUAAUAAUGAUGCAUAUGUCUUUACCUAGAUUAGAGAAAGGAAGAGAAAAAAUAAAAAUUUUGGAAAUGAGAUAAAAAGAUAUUGAUCUCACUGAUGUUUCUGAAUCUAAGACUGAACUCAAUUAUUAGUUGUAUUUACUGCUUAUUAGAUUUACUAAGAAAGUUCUUUAAGGUACUUACAGCCCUAAAAUUAUUUGCAAUAUUCAAUAGCAAGGGACUUAAAUACAGUCCUGAUUACUCCAUCACAAAAUGCCAAAAACAAUUAGGAUCUUAAAGGAACUACCCAAAUAGGUUUAAGAUAUCACUCAGGCCAUAAAAAUGUUUUUAAAAUUCACAUCACAAAAUAGCCAAAUGACAUAUCAGAAACAAAAGCAAAAAAGUCAUCCUAAUUCAAGGCAAUUACUUUAGCAAUUCAAAAUAAAAUGUUAAAAGUGACCAAAAAACAAAUGCAAAAUAUUUUAAUGACUUUAAAUGGCUGUAUAAUUUCCUCAUCACUUCACUUGGCAGAGUUAAGAUGGCAUUUAACCUAAGUUCACAUCAUUAAAAAAAACACUGCACCAUGAUGCUUUUCUUAAUAUGCAUUCUCAAAUUAGCAUACAGAGAAAAAUGAAACUAUAGUAGAGACGUAAAUUUAAUCCCUAUUUAGGUCACUAGGCAUUUAUUAGCCCCACCACAGGUUAAUACACUUGCAUUUGCAUCUGUUUCUAAAUGCUAAUUAUCUGACCUCAGAACACUCACUUAUGGGCUUCAUUUAUUGAAAAACAAAUCCCUAUGAUUUGAUCGUAGAGUAACUUUUAAUGUCUAACUUUACGUAGUAUAUUACAGUUUUCAAAACAUUUUUAUAAAAAGUAUUUUGUUUAUUUACAGCAACUAUAUAUCAUAGAUAUUAAUGUGUAUAUUUUGCAUUUAAGCAAGUUGGAGUUCGUAAGGUUGAAUUACUUGAAAUGUACAAAUAGAUAGUAGUGAAUAUUUAAAGUACAUUUUUAAAAAUAUGACCCAGAAAAAUAGGUGGCAUUUAAGAAAUAUAAGCAUGGUAUCUAUCUUACAUGUAUAUUAGGAGUGGACAGUUUUCUAAGAUUAGAAGCAAACAGUUGUCAAGCAAGGGUUCUAAUUUUUGUAAGUCUUGUGGGAAAGAAAGAUAAUAGAGGGUUUCAUUGCAAAGAUAUAAAACUACUCUAGAUAAUUUAAGCAAAAACUAAUCUAAUAAAUUGGGUUUUCCAAAUUAUUGAAACACCUUGAGAACUAGUGCCUGGGUAGGCCUGGAGAAAUGACUCCAGGAACAGCAUUACAGAACUCACCUGCCCAGUGGUAACAGUGCCCAGAUUGCUCUUCUCCAUUAUCCAGCCAGAGUUCCAGAUCAGCCUGAAUACUUCACCUCUGGGAAGACUUUGCAGAACCUCCAGAUUUAUGCCACCUCUAUAACCUGUGUAAUAUUAUUACAAUGCAUAUUAUGUUCUAUUUCACUUACAGUCAGCCCUCCUUAUCUGUGGGUUCCACAAACAUGGAUUCAACCCACAGUAAAAUGAAAAUAUUUGGGGAAAAAAUUAAUGUUUGAGUCUGUAUUGAACACGUAGACUUUUUCUUGUCACUGUUCCCUAAACAAUACAGUAUAACAACUAUUUACAUAGUAUUUACAUUAUAUUGGGCAUUAUAAGUAAUUAAAGAUGAUUUAAGUAUAUGGAAAGAUGUAUAUAGGUUAUAUGCAAGUACUGUGCCAUUUUAUAUAAAGCACUUGAACAUCACAGAUUUUGGUAUCAAUGAGGGGUGCUGAAACCAAUUGCCCAUGGAUACCAAGAGACAGCUAUAUUUGUUUCAAUGUGUACCUCUCCUUCUAAACUCAGUUCUUAAGCAUAUAGUAUCUUUAUAGCUAUACACCUAGUGUCUAUCAGACCCUAAACUAUGGUAGGCCCUCAAUACAUUUUAUUGUUAUAGGUAGAUAGAUAGGCAUGAGUAGGGCAGGAGAGGGCUCUCCCUCCACCCACUAGAAAUGUCAAGUGAUGUUUUAAAAAUUGUCACACUGCCUCUCAGAAAAUGAUAAUUCAGCAACCGGGGAGAGACAAUCUUCUGAUGGUCCACACCUAUUAACAUUAAAGUGUUAUUAAAGGCAGACCCCAGAAAGAAGAAACUUACUGGGCAUGCACAUUAAGAGAUAAAAACGGCAAAAUAUUAUCUUCCACGUACCCACAACUGGAAAAAAGGAAGAAAGCUUCAGGUGGGCAUAUGUACUCUUCCUAAACACACUGCGCAUGCUCACUUCCCAACUGUAGAGAGGGCUCUGCACAUACGGGAAGAAUCUCGGGAAAGAGGUGAACCUAUAAAAGGCCAAGAAUCAUGGUUGAACGGGACAUUUGACCUUCUCUCUUAAACCUUCAUGUGCCUGCUUGGGUCUCUUCCAACUGCACCUUCCUUUCUUUCCUGUUCUAAGGCCUUUUUAAAUAAACUUCCACUCAUGCUCUG
rnacentral:lncRNA from 10 species